rnacentral:rRNA from 1 species
AUGAACGCUCGCGGCGUGCCUAACACAUGCAAGUCGAGCGGCAGCGAGGGGUGCUUGCACCCUGUCGGCGAGCGGCGGACGGCUGAGUAACGCGUGGGAACGUGCCCCAAAGUGAGGAAUAACUGCCCGAAAGGGUAGCUAAUACCGCAUAUUAUCUUCGGAUCAAAGGAUUUAUCCGCUUUGGGAGCGGCUCGCGUCGGAUUAGGUAGUUGGUGAGGUAAUGGCUCACCAAGCCGACGAUCCGUAGCUGGUCUGAGAGGAUGACCAGCCAGACUGGAACUGAGACACGGGCCAGACUCCGACGGGAGGCAGGAGUGAGGAAUCAUCCACAAUGGGCGAAAGCCUGAUGGAGCAACUGCGCGUGCAGGACGAAGGACUUCGGGUUGUAAACUGCUUUUAUAAGUGAGGAAUAUGACGGUAACUUAUGAAUAAGGAUCGGCUAACUACGUG